rnacentral:rRNA from 1 species
UGGGGAAUUUUGGACAAUGGGGGCAACCCUGAUCCAGCCAUUCCGCGUGAGUGAAGAAGGCCUUCGGGUUGUAAAGCUCUUUCAGCUGGAACGAAACGGUACAGGUUAAUACCCUGUGCUAAUGACGGUACCGGCAGAAGAAGCACCGGCUAACUAAGUGCCAGCAGCCGCGGUAAUACGUAGGGUGCGAGCGUUAAUCGGAAUUACUGGGCGUAAAGCGUGCGCAGGCGGAUUGUUAAGCAAGAUGUGAAAUCCCCGGGCUUAACCUGGGAAUGGCAUUUUGAACUGGCAGUCUAGAGUGCGUCAGAGGGGGGUGGAAUUCCACGUGUAGCAGUGAAAUGCGUAGAGAUGUGGAGGAACACCCAUGGCGGAGGCAGCCCCCUGGGAUGACACUGACGCUCAUGUACGAAAGCGUGGGUAGCAAACA